UGGGGAAUUUUGGACAAUGGGCGAAAGCCUGAUCCAGCCAUGCCGCGUGAACGAUGAAGGCCUUCGGGUUGUAAACCGCUUUUGUCAGGGAAGAAACGGUUCGUACUAAUACUGUGAACUAAUGACGUUACCGACAGAAUAAGCACCGGCUAACUCUGUGCCAGCAGCCGCGGUAAUACAGAGGGUGCAAGCGUUAAUCGGAAUUACUGGGCGUAAAGCGCGCGUAGGUGGUUUGUUAAGUUGGAUGUGAAAUCCCCGGGCUCAGCCUGGGAACUGCAUUCAAAACUGACAAGCUAGAGUAUGGUAGAGGGUGGUGGAAUUUCCUGUGUAGCGGUGAAAUGCGUAGAUAUCAAGAGGAACACCUGAGGCGAAGGCGAGUUGCUAGGCUGACACUGACGCUGAGGUACGAAAGCUAGGGGAGCGAACGGGAUUAGAUACCCACGUAGUCCCUGAGCGGGCUGGCAAGGCGCAU
rnacentral:rRNA from 1 species